CAAGUACUCCUUCCAUCCGAAAAUACUUGUCUUAGAAAUAGAUAAAAUGGAUAUAUCUAUAAUUAAAAUAGAUCUAGAUAUAACAAUUUUUAGGACAAGUAUUUUUGGACGGAGGGAGUACUUA
rnacentral:pre_miRNA from 1 species